CCUACGGGCGGCAGCAGUGAGGAAUAUUGGUCAAUGGACGAGAGUCUGAACCAGCCAAGUAGCGUGAAGGAUGACUGCCCUAUGGGUUGUAAACUUCUUUUAUAUGGGAAUAAAAUGUUCCACGUGUGGGAUGUUGUAUGUAUCAUAUGAAUAAGGAUAGGCUAACUCCGUGCCAGCAGCCGCGGUAAUACGGAGGAUCCGAGCGUUAUCCGGAUUUAUUGGGUUUAAAGGGAGCGUAGGUGGAUUGUUAAGUCAGUUGUGAAAGUUUGCGGCUCAACCAUAGAAUUGCAGUUGAAACUGGCAGUCUUGAGUACAGUAGAGGUGGGCGGAAUUCGUGGUGUAGCGGUGAAAUGCUUAGAUAUCACGAAGAACUCCGAUUGCGAAGGCAGCUCACUGGACUGCAACUGACACUGAGGCUCGAAAGUGUGGGUAUCAAACAGGAUUAGAUACCCUUGUAGUC
rnacentral:rRNA from 1 species